rnacentral:rRNA from 2 species
UUAAGCAUAUCAAUAAGCGGAGGAAAAGAAACCAACAGGGAUUGCCCCAGUAACGGCGAGUGAAGCGGCAACAGCUCAAAUUUGAAAUCUGGCCCCAGGCCCGAGUUGUAAUUUGCAGAGGAUGCUUUUGGCGCGGUGCCUUCCGAGUUCCCUGGAACGGGACGCCAUAGAGGGUGAGAGCCCCGUACGGUUGGACACCAAGCCUUUGUAAAGCUCCUUCGACGAGUCGAGUAGUUUGGGAAUGCUGCUCUAAAUGGGAGGUACAUUUCUUCUAAAGCUAAAUAUUGGCCAGAGACCGAUAGCGCACAAGUAGAGUGAUCGAAAGAUGAAAAGCACUUUGAAAAGAGGGUUAAACAGCACGUGAAAUUGUUAAAAGGGAAGCGCUUGUGACCAGACUUGCGUCCGGUGAAUCACCCAGCUCUCGCGGCUGGGGCACUUCGCCGGCACAGGCCAGCAUCAGCUUGCCGUCGGGGACAAAAGCUUCAGGAACGUGGCUCCUCUCGGGGAGUGUUAUAGCCUGUUGCAUAAUACCCUUCGGCGGGCUGAGGUACGCGCUCCGCAAGGAUGCUGGCGUAAUGGUCAUCAGCGACCCGUCUUGAAACACGGACCAAGGAGUCAACCUUAUGUGCGAGUGUUUGGGUGUUAAACCCCUACGCGUAAUGAAAGUGAACGCAGGUGAGAGCUUCGGCGCAUCAUCGACCGAUCCUGAUGUUCUCGGAUGGAUUUGAGUAAGAGCAUAUAGGGUUGGACCCGAAAGAAGGUGAACUAUGCGUGUGUAGGGUGAAGCCAGAGGAAACUCUGGUGGAGGCUCGCAGCGGUUCUGACGUGCAAAUCGAUCGUCAAACAUGCGCAUGGGGGCGAAAGACUAAUCGAACCUUCUAGUAGCUGGUUUCCGCCGAAGU